UAACAAGGUUUCCGUAGGUGAACCUGCGGAAGGAUCAUUAGUGAUUUGCCUUCGGGCUAAACUAUAUCCAUAACACCUGUGAACUGUUGAUUGACUUCGGUCAAUACUUUUACAAACAUUGUGUAAUGAACGUCAUGUUAUUAUAACAAAUAUAACUUUCAACAACGGAUCUCUUGGCUCUCGCAUCGAUGAAGAACGCAGCGA
rnacentral:misc_RNA from 1 species